rnacentral:tRNA from 6 species
GACUUAAAAAAUCCGUCGACUUUAUAAAUCGUGAGG